AUGCUCAUUUUGGCAGCAUGUAUACUAAAUUGGAAUGAUACUGAGAAGAUUAGAAUGGUCCCUGUGCAAGGAUGACAUGCAAAUCCAUGAAACAUUCCAUAUUACA
ensembl:snRNA U6 U6 spliceosomal RNA